GGCAGCGGAAGGUGGGAGCGACGACUGCAAAACGGCAGCGAUGGGCUCCCGCAACCUCCGGAGCUUGUGCGCGUACUUCAGGGACCGGCACCACGUCACCGUCACCUCCUGAGUAGUGAGUUCCCCUCUGAUGAAACCACUGGUCAAAAGCAAGAAAUAGGAAGAAACACAAGCAUACUAUAAAAUAAAAGAAAUAGAGACACAGACACACAAGGGAGAGUGCCAUAUGAAAAUGGAGGCAGAAUGGAGUGAUGCAUCUACAAGCCAAGGAACACCAAAAAUUGCCAGCAACUACUAGAAGCUAGAAGAGGCAAGAAAGGACUUUCUAGAGCCUUUGGAAAGCAUGAUUCUGCCACAUCUUGAUUUUGGACUUCCAGCCUCUAGAACUGUGAGAGAGUAAGUUUCCAUUGUUUUAAACCACCCAAUUUGUAUUAAUUUGUUAUAGAAGCCCUGGGAAACAAAUAAACUACUUUAGAUCAGUUAGGAAGGCUUCUUGAACUAUAUGACAUUUAAACAGAGACAUAAAUGAUGAGACUGUCCCAGCCAAGUUAAAAAUAUCACUGGGAAUCAAACUCACUGGUGUUAUUCCAGCUCAGUGGUAAAUGUUCUACUGGUAUUUUAAAUAAUUCUAAAAUAAAGUCAUUAUUUUUCUUU
rnacentral:lncRNA from 1 species